GAUGAACGCUGGCGGCGUGCCUAAUACAUGCAAGUCGAGCGAACAGACGAGGAGCUUGCUCCUUCGACGUUAGCGGCGGACGGGUGAGUAACACGUAGGUAACCUACCUAUAAGACUGGGAUAACUUCGGGAAACCGGCGCUAAUACCGGAUAAUAUUUCGAACCGCAUGGUUCGAUAGUGAAAGAUGGCUUUGCUAUCACUUAUAGAUGGACCUGCGCCGUAUUAGCUAGUUGGUAAGGUAACGGCUUACCAAGGCAACGAUACGUAGCCGACCUGAGAGGGUGAUCGGCCACACUGGAACUGAGACACGGUCCAGACUCCUACGGGAGGCAGCAGUAGGGAAUCUUCCGCAAUGGGCGAAAGCCUGACGGAGCAACGCCGCGUGAGUGAUGAAGGUCUUCGGAUCGUAAAACUCUGUUAUUAGGGAAGAACAAACGUGUAAGUAACUGUGCACGUCUUGACGGUACCUAAUCAGAAAGCCACGGCUAACUACGUG
rnacentral:rRNA from 1 species